UUAAUUAUUCUCUGUGGGUAUUAAGAAUAGUGUGUGUGUUUUUAAUUUUAUUUGUUGGGAGUGUAUACGGAAGCUGUAGUGUGUGUGUUUUUUUAAAUUUUAUUUUACUGUUUUGUUAUGAGAGCUACGCUGACCAUAAUCUUAUUUUGUUUUUCUACGGGGGACAAAUGUGAUACCGCCGGAGAUAAGGCAUUUGCCUCUGGCACAUUUAAACUUCAAAGAUAUGCGUUUACGUUUGAUUUAAUACGACAUUCACAUAAUAAGCUAUUUUUUGUUCAUGUAUUUUUUUUUCAUUUUGAGUUAUACGUGAACAUAUUUGUGGUAGCGAGAUAGAUAUUCGUUUCCUUAUAUUGCUUCUGUUAUCGCUUGCUGUAUGUUGUGCGCUAAUUUAAACGCGUCUCAACAUACGGUGACUCGGGUUGGCGGGAAAAUAAAUCUUAUGAUUUGUGUGCGUUUUAUCAAACGGCUUGGUCUUUAAAGAUUAAUGGUUAGUUGGAAUGUGAUUUAAAUAUUAAACAUCCAUUUAAAAAAAAAAA